GGGGACCUUCGGGCCUUGCGCUAUCAGAUGAGCCUAGGUCGGAUUAGCUAGUUGGUGAGGUAAUGGCUCACCAAGGCUACGAUCCGUAACUGGUCUGAGAGGAUGAUCAGUCACACUGGAACUGAGACACGGUCCAGACUCCUACGGGAGGCAGCAGUGGGGAAUAUUGGACAAUGGGCGAAAGCCUGAUCCAGACAGGCCGCGUGUGUGAAGAAGGUCUUCGGAUUUAAAGCAAUUGAGUUGGGAGGAAGGGCA
rnacentral:rRNA from 1 species